GUCUUGACGGUACCUAAUCAGAAAGCCACGGCUAACUACGUGCCAGCAGCCGCGGUAAUACGUAGGUGGCAAGCGUUAUCCGGAAUUAUUGGGCGUAAAGCGCGCGUAGGCGGUUUUUUAAGUCUGAUGUGAAAGCCCACGGCUCAACCGUGGAGGGUCAUUGGAAACUGGAAAACUUGAGUGCAGAAGAGGAAAGUGGAAUUCCAU
rnacentral:rRNA from 1 species